UCAUGCAUUGAUUCGGGAUAC
rnacentral:siRNA from 1 species